CAGUUUAACGGUAACUUUUUACCGCUAUUUUUUCUCUCUCUCUCACGUUCUUUCAAUUUAAUCAUUCUCUCUCUCCCACGAUUCUCUCAAUUUGACCAUUGUAAAACUCUUGCUCUUCAUAAUCAACCAACCCAGUAUCCCACAAAUUUUGGUAACUGACUUCUUCUCUUGAAAAGGCCCCCCUCUCCACCACUGUCAAAACCGCUGCUCCACAAAUUUCACAUGUUGUGCUCCACCGCUCCACGCUCCUGCAUCAUCGACAUCGAAUGCCCAAUAAGAAGCAUUGGAAGGCCGUUGAAUACCUACUCAAAUGCAAACAUCCACUAUGCAGGUGUUUGAGAUGUGAAAGGCGCAACCUUUUUACCAACUGAAAGAAGGGAUGUAUGAAGCUCAUUAUUCUUCUGAGGAGAUGCGGGCAGCACGAUCAAGCCUGCCAAGUGUUUGAUGAAAUGCUUCAAUAAGGUGAAAAGUUCUUCGAUCUUUCAUAUUCUAUAAUUGAGAAUAUAGAUAUUGGUUACAGAUUCUUAUGAUCUAUUUUUUGGACAAAGUAUUUUCUGUUGAUUGAUGGAAUGUCAUAUUUUUAUGGUUAAAGUUGAAGCAUUGGCAAUUCAAGGUCGGAAGAUAAAUUUAGUGAUGAGGCAAGUGAAAAAGCUUGAGGUUACUAUUAUGAAUUGCACCAUUUUUCAUUACUCAUCUAUAUUAUUUCUUGCUUAUCUCUUUCAAAGAAAGAGGACUAAAUUAUGAUAGAGGUGUAUAUAAAAGUUUUGAAUACUCUGUACUGUUAGGUUGCUUCAAAUACAAUAUGGAACUGGGAUUAACAUGGUUUAUUUUAUCGAUUUUCUCCACGCAAUGAGACUUCAGAUUUUGGUUUAUUGCUUAACUUUCAGUUGUUAAAUUCAUUAAUUUGUGUAAUUUUGUUUUAUGAGCAGUCUUACCACAUAAAGCAUCAGAGGUUGAAAAGUGUGUCCAGAUAAAUAAGGACAAAUUUGAAAGUGCAAGCCUUCUUCAUUCCUGUGCUUCCUUAUGAGUCUGAUGUGAGUCUUUCUUCAACUUCCAGGACAAUUAUCUUGGCUUGGUGAAGCAAAUUAUAUCAUGGGUUGUGAUUUGGGGUGAAUAUGUGUUUGAAUGGAGGUUUUAGAUUUUGUCUUUGGUGAUUGCAUACAUAUUUUUUCAGUUGUCUGCACUAUUGUAUACCAACAUUAUGAUUAGCAUGGUUAUGUAUAUGGUGCAUCAUCUUCAAGAAUAAGGCUCCAAAUUCUAUAAACGAAAUUUGAAAGUUUGCCCAGAAAGCCAUGGGAACUACACAUAUGAGAGUUUAUUUGAACAAGCAUAUUUGAAGCCAUGGUAUACGCAGUGUUUCGAGAAGGAUUAGUGUUCAAAUAUCGAAAAAAGGAAUGGUGAUGAAGAUGCCAAGGAGGAGCUCUACUCUUUGGUGACUGUCAUUGAAAUUCCAUAAGACCUUGAAGGGAUUGGGGCAUUGCAAUCUUUGAAGAAGAAUAGUAACUUUUUUUAUGCUAUAGGAAAAUGGAUGUUAUUCGAGUUACAAGCAAUUCAACAUGUUUCUCUACAUUUGUACAAUAUUUAUAAUUUAUUAUAGUACUCCACUACUCCUUAUUGUGUUUAA